rnacentral:rRNA from 1 species
GUGAGGAAUAUUGGUCAAUGGGCGGGAGCCUGAACCAGCCAAGUCGCGUGAAGGAAGAAGGAUCUAUGGUUCGUAAACUUCUUUUGCAGGGGAAUAAAGUGCAGGACGUGUCCUGUUUUGUAUGUACCCUGAGAAUAAGGAUCGGCUAACUCCGUGCCAGCAGCCGCGGUAAUACGGAGGAUCCGAGCGUUAUCCGGAUUUAUUGGGUUUAAAUGGUGCGUAGGUGGUUUGAUAAGUCAGCGGUGAAAGUUUGCAGCUUAACUGUAAAAAUGCCGUUCAAACUGUCUGACUUGAGUGUAAAUGAGGUAGGCGGAAUGCGUGGUGUAGCGGUGAAAUGCAUUGAUAUCACGCAGAACUCCGAUUGCGAAGGCAGCUUACUAAGCUACAACUGACACUGAAGCACGAAAGCGUGGGGAUCAAACAGGAUUAGAUACCCUAGUAGUCC